ensembl:snRNA U6 U6 spliceosomal RNA
AUGCUUGCUUCAGCUGCACAUAUGCUAAAGCUGGAACAACACAAAGGAGAUUUGUGUUGCUCAUGGAGCCUGAGCAAGGACGACACACACAUUCAUGAAACGUUCUAUGUUAAA